GUCUGACUUUGGCCGUGUCCAGAGGGAAUGUGAUGAUGUCAGCUAUGCAGGCGGCUGCUCCGGCGCUCGCCAUCUUCACUCCGAGAGGAGGAGGCACAUCAGAGGGCUUGAGUCCUACCAUGUUUCCUGCCUCUGCAGACAGGAUGUUACCAGGCAGGGUUUGAAGGACCAGAUGGUAAUCCUCGAAGGGCCCCUCUAGCACAGAAAGGGAAGAGGCAUCUCUCGCUCUUCACUUAUAUAUUUUCUGGCUGGCUUUUUACGGCAUCCGCAGAGAGGCGUCACUAUGUACCUCUGUAUGCCCAGGUUCAAUCAAAGUCCACUCACUGUGAGAUAAUCAAUGUUCAAUUCCCCUCACAGGGCAGACGCCUCUCAGGAAAAACAACAAAAACUACUUACGCUGUGAGAGAAGAAAUUGUAUUUCUCAAGGUUUGUUGAGAAAUCUUAAACAUCUUAACAUCUUAAAAUGUUAUUGCUUUUAAAUUUGAUUAACACUAUUUGCAUGCCUACAUUUGAUAGAGUGAGUAUACAUUUGUGUCAGCAGAUUUCCCAAAUCGCAUCCAUCUGUCAUAAAUGUACAGUAGUAGGUAAUUAUUUACAUUGUUGGAUCAGCCGUCUGGCUUGAACACUGCUGAUAUCUGAGUGCUAUCGGCUGAUUUUCCUGGGGGCUUGUCUGGGCUCUCAGCCAAUGGCAGCACAAACAUGCAAACGGCAGCGUUACAAAACAAAUCCCCAAUCUGUUCUGCAGACUUUACAGUAUUUAUAAUUUCACACUGUGCUACUAUGAAUAUAUUCUUCAAUUCAUUUAGAUUUCCUAGUCUUUGUUCAGCUGUUUUUUGUCAAAUCAAACGUGAGGAAUCAUAGAUAUGAGCGGUGACGUACAUCCGUGACUGAAGUUCACUCCAGAGGAGAUAAGGUCUUUGAAAUCACAUCGUGUUUGGGCUCACUGCGUAUUUGGCAGCAGCUGAGUCUGUUAGAUAAUAAUAAAUGUGUCCCACAUACAGCCCCUUGCAAAACGUUUUAAUACCCCUUCAAGCUUUUUACAUUUUUUAUGUUUCAACCACAAACUUCAAUGUAUUUUUGGACUUAAUUGUGAUGUGGAAGGUAAAUGCAGCAUGUUAUUUUUCAGCAAAUAAAAACCUCAGAAGUGUGCUA